rnacentral:rRNA from 1 species
GUAGGUGGCAAGCGUUGUCCGGGAAUUAUUGGGGCGUAAAGCGCGCGCAGGCGGUCCUUUAAGUCUGAUGUGAAAGCCCACGGGCUCAACCGUGGAGGGUCAUUGGAAACUGGGGGACUUGAGUACAGAAGAGGAAAGUGGAAUUCCACGUGUAGCGGUGAAAUGCGUAGAGAUGUGGAGGAACACCAGUGGCGAAGGCGACUUUCUGGUCUGUAACUGACGCUGAGGCGCGAAAGCGUGGGGAGCAAACAGGAUUAGAUACCCUGGUAGUCCACGCCGUAAACGAUGAGUGCUAAGUGUUAGAGGGUUUCCGCCCUUUAGUGCUGCAGCUAACGCAUUAAGCACUCCGCCUGGGGAGUACGGCCGCAAAGGCUG